UUCCGCACUUGCAGGUCUCAGCAGCGCGGGCUAGGGAUGCGAAGGCGCCGGGAAGCUCACGGGGCGGAGACCGGAGCAAGCCCGCCCUCCUCCAGACCCGGGGUCUCCCUUUCGCGCCCCCUAUCUGCAGGGCCAGCGAAACCGCAGAGGCGCGGCUCACAGGGGCCAGCCCCAGCCGCAGGCACCGAGCAGAGCGCACGCCGGCCUGUGUGGAGCCCAGGGAAGAACAGAGUAACCGGUAUAGAGGAGGCUUUGCGUUUUCAGGAAUGCACUGUCCCCUUUCCAGGAGCCCUGCAAGUGAGCAGGAGUGGCAGAAAGUAGCCUGUGCAGAGGCAGAGGAGUGGGAGUCAGCAACAGACUGCCCCUCUAUAUUCCCUGGCCGGAGUUUCAUCCAUCCCUGCGGAAGGAAGACACCCAGCUGCAAUCACGCACCUCCACCUGUCCAGAUCUCAGCUCGUGGCGUCUCCCCUGAGGCUGGAACAGCCUCGGAAGAGGGCCUGCACACUUCCAUGGGGGAACUGUGGAGGAAAACACAGGCCUGACUUGCCAGUGAGGGAGCAGAGGGGCAGGGGAGUCCCAGAAAGCACUCUGGUUAGUCAGUGCUUGAAGGUACUCCAUACAAACAGGUAGAGCAAAAUGGACAACAUCUGUAAUAAAACUAGGUAAUAUGUUUUAUUCACAAGUCUCAAGAUAAAUGCCACUGGGGACAAAUCCCCUAUAGCUAGGUCCAUGUGGCACCAGCAACACAAUAUUUUAUGGAUCUGAGAACAGAAGACUCAAAGCACUUCUAGAUCAAGACAAUUUGCCUAUAAAGAUUGUUUGGAGGAGCAAGGAUGUGGGGUUCUAAGAGACAUUCAAUAUGCAAUAAAGCCUGGCACACAGCUAGCAUACACUUCCCAGCUUCCUUUGAUGUCUGUUGUAGCCACAUGACUGAGCUUAGCCAAUGGAGUACGGGUGUAAGUGAUGUGAACCACACCAGCCUGGCCCCUAAAAACCUUACUCAGAGAGAGUCUGUGGUUCUGGAUACACAGAGUCUGUGGUUCUAAGAAGAUCUGUGGUCUGAAGGAGGAUGAGAACUUACAAAGAAACGUGAAUUAAAAUGGAGAGAAGGGACAAUUGGAAGCAUGUCUGAGACUGUGCACUCCUGGAAGGCAACAAGCAUGGCUUUCAUCCUUAUCUCCCCAGCCCCUGAGAGCAGAGUCUCCCCAGCCCCUGCAGCUGCUGCAACUCUGCCUGCUCCAAGAAGCUGUCUGCACUGAACCCCUGAGGUGCCCUGCCCCCAUGGUGCUUCGGGGUACUGUGUGGUUAAUCCUGGCACCCUAGGCAGAUGGGAAGCUGCUUGGAAACAGAGCCAGUUUUCCUAAUAACCGACUCACAAAAAAGCCCAGCCAAUAGAAUUCUUUGUGAAUGCCUGUGAGGAACAGGGCAGGACCAAGAUGGGCAUUGGUUAAGGAAAACUGAGCCCCUCUCGCUUUUGUCAUAUGUCCAGGAGGAGACGCUGUCUCUGAGUCUUCACGAAGAUGGGAUUAAGAGAGAAAGCAAAUUUUUGGAAGGAAAUGUUUGAGUUUUAAUGCCAGCCAUAAAGGACUUAAAUGGUCUUUUACUGUCAACCACCUCAGGAUUGCAAAAGUGGAUGAGGAAGAGGGUCCUGCCACAACCAGUGGAUCCUACCCAGGAAGAGCCCUACUUCCCCAGCUUGAGAUUCCUCUUCCUCACUCAGACAUAGACCUGGGGUGCCCUGUGGGGGAAUCUCAUCAAGACAUGUGCCUGGGAAGGAAUCUUUGUCUCUGCUCCUCAGAGACUGCAUUCUCCUCACUGAGAGGCAACAGGCAGCCAGGCUGGGGAAGCUUCUUUAUACUCUCAAGCAGCACAAGCAGGAAAUGGUGAGACCUCCACUGAGAACUGUAAGUGCAGUACAUCAUUAGAGGACAUUAAAAUAGCUGGAGAAGCAGUCUAUGUUCAUGGAUCAGGAGACUAGUGUUGUUUAGAUGACAAUGCUUUUCAACUGACCUACAGAUUCAAGUUGGUCCCCAUGAGAAUCUCAGCUAAAUUCUUUAUAGAGAUUGAGAAGCCAAUUCUAAAAUUCAAAUGGACUUGCAAGGGACCCAGAAGAGGCAAUGUAUUCUUGAAACAAAAAAUAAAGUAGUGUACUCAUACUUCCUGAUUUCACAACUCACUACAAAGCAACAGAAAUCAAGACAAUGUGAUACUGGCAUUAAGAACAGGCAUAGAGAUCAAUGAAAUGUCAUGAAAAGCAUCCAAAAAUAAAUCCACACAUUUAAUAGUCAACUGAUUUUUGACAAUGGUGUCAAGACCACUCAGUGAGUAAAGAAUAAUCUUUUCAACAAAUGGUACUGGGACAAAUGUACACAGCCAGACACAAAAGAAUGAAGUAGAAUCCUGACCUCACUCCAUUCAAAAGUUAACUUUAAAAGGAGAAAAGGCCUAAAUAAAAAAGCAAAGCCAUAGAAAUCUUGGAAGGAAAAAAAAGGAUUAAAUCUUUAUGACCUUGGAUUUGGCAGUUCAGUUCUCAGUAAUAAAACAACAAGUAAUCUAAUUAAGGAAUGGGCAAAGGAUCUGAGUAGACAUUUCUGCAGGGAAUAUGUACAAAUGACCAGUGAGCACAUUAGAAGUUGCUCAGCUUCAUUAGUCAUCAGAGAAAUGAACAUUAAAAAAAAAAAAGUUACAGUGAGAUACCACUUCAUCCACUGGCAUGACUAGAACAAAUUAGAUAGUAAUAAGUGUUGGCGAUGAUGUGGAAAAAUCAGAACCCUCAUAUCCUGCUAGCAGAAAGAUAAAAAUUGUGCGGUCAACUUGGAAAAUGGUUUUGCAGUCCCUCAAAUGAGUAAGCAUAGAAUUACCAUGGAGCCCAGAAAUUCCACUUUUAGGUAUAUAUCCAACAGAGAGAAAAUAUGUUCACACAAAGCCUUGUACAUGACUUUGUUCAUAGUAACGUUAUUCAUAAUAGCCAAAAGUCAGAAGCAAUCCAUCAACUGAUGGAUGAAGAGACAAAAUUUGGUAUAUUCAUACAAUGGAAUAUUAUUUCUCUAUAAAAAGGAAUGUAACUCUGAUACAUGCUACAUGAAUGAAACUUGAAACUUGCUAAAUGGAAACAGCCAGUCACCAGAGACCACAUAAGGUACUAUUCUAUUUUUACAAAAUGUACAGAACAGGGAAAUGUAUAGGGACAGAGAGUAGAUUAGUGGUUGCACAGGGCCGGCAGUGGAGUGCAGACCGCCUAAGGAAACAAUAGCUAAAAGCACAGGGUUUUGAGAAAAAUAUUCUGUAAUUGCCUGGGGUGAUGAUUGCACACAUCUGUGAGUAUGUUAGAACCCACUGAAUUAUACAGUUUAAAUAGGUAAGUUGUGUGGUAUGUUAAUCAUAAUUCAAAAUAACUGUUAAAAAGAGGAUGGCAAGUCCAGAAGUUUUGAAAUUAUCUAGCCUGACUGCAGUGCAGGCCACUGUCGCUGUAGCUAGUGUAGAGCACACAGCUGGAGAGAGGGAGGUCCCUGCCAGAUGCGGAGAUGGAACAACGUUCCCAGGUUGGUGGGGAGCCAGGGGAGGCUUUAGGCUCUAGAAUGUUGGUAUGGCAGAUUUCAGGGAGGAUAGGAGGAAGAAGAGGCAGCGUGAUCCACUGUUCCACGGUCAACUGCAUUUCCACAGUCCCAAAAACACCUCUUGCCCUGCAAAUGUACUCCUUUGUUUCUCCCCAUUCUUAACUUCCUCAGCUGGUGAGGCCAUUGUUUCCUCCCAGCUUACAGUCCUGCCUUCUUCGCUGAUCCUGCUAAAUAUGAACUCCCAUAUGCAGCAUUAGUUUAUCCAUUUAUGUUUUCUAAAGAAAAAUGCAAUGAUUGUUUGAUGCCUCACUGUGGCAGAGGCAGGAUUAUUCUGACUAUAGACUCUUUUUCAUGCCUGCUGACUUCCAGUAAUAAAGCAAAUAUUCCCCUCAGCUCCAACCUCUUUUCUCUAUGACCUGGGGGUGCAAGUUUGGGCAGCCUGAGAAGUAGCACUCCCAGAGGUGGGGCCAGAGUUGGGGAAAUGCUUUCUAGGAAGGGAUGUGCCACAGUAAUUGGCCACAGCCUCAGCUCUUCAAUGGCCUCCAGGACUGAGCAUAAACCUUGCCUCAGCCUUUUAUGCCAUUAUUCAGAAAAAAACACUAAUAAAAAAAGGGAAUUGGUUUUGUCAUGUUCAUGUUAUAAGGAUAACACUGAAUCCUCAACUCUGAGUGAUAAAAAUAAUUGACAAACUUUACUACUUUAACUCUGAAACACACCUGUGUUCAUCAGGAAACAAUAGUGCUGCAAUUUGCCGCUGAGAACCUUUCAAAGACGACGCUGACUCCUGCACCUUUGGGCAGCCAAGGGCCAGCGCAGGUGUGGGCAGCCCCCAGAGGAUGCAAGAAGAGCAAACUGUGGAAGCUGGAAGGACCUUUGCAGGCACCUGGGAGCUGCCGUUAUUGCCACCUUCGACGUGCCAUAAAGGGGCCCUGAAGUGCUUGUGUGUGCGGCACACCCGAAUAAUUGCAAACAACAUGAUAUGAUGCUAGUAACACCAAAUUCUCAGGUUUCUGGAAUUAUCCCCAACAUUGAGCAAAAGCAAGAGUGCAGAUUAUAUUGUGAGAAGGCUUUAAUUUCUGACUCUUUAAAUAAAU